GUAGUCAUAUGCUUGUCUCAAAGAUUAAGCCAUGCAUGUCUAAGUAUAAGCAAUUAUACCGUGAAACUGCGAAUGGCUCAUUAAAUCAGUUAUCGUUUAUUUGAUAAUACCUUACUACUUGGAUAACCGUGGUAAUUCUAGAGCUAAUACAUGCUAAAAAUCCCGACUUCGGAAGGGAUGUGUUUAUUAGAUAAAAAACCAAUGUCCUUCGGGGCUUCUUGGUGAUUCAUGAUAACUUUACGGAUCGCAUAGCCUUGCGCUGGCGACGGUUCAUUCAAAUUUCUGCCCUAUCAACUUUCGAUGGUAAGGUAUUGGCUUACCAUGGUUUCAACGGGUAACGGGGAAU
rnacentral:rRNA from 1 species